UCCUGAAGUUUCCAGCGCUCAGGGAGGACGGGAGAAUGCGGGGUGCCCGACCAGUCUGAUUACCGAUUGGCUGGUGUUUCCGCCACUCAUUUCAGUUUAUGCUUCUGUCACUGCCACGUCACCCCCUCCCAUCACUUCUCAUCAUCCUUUUCCGCCCUUAAGGAUUGGUGGUUUACGGUAUCAGCUGCUCCACCUUUUCUACCAUUUACUGAACGAGUUGAGGAAAAAGGGAAGGAAUCUCGUCUUCGCAUCCACAUUUUCUUUUUUUUAUUGGUAGGCACCUAUGCCACUCUCGUGGUGGAGAGGCGGGGCAAUAGUUGGAGAUGAUUGGUUCUGAGAAUUGGCUGUGAAAGCGGCAUUGCUGACCAAUGAGAGAGAAGUAAUAUGAGAGGGGCAGGCCGGGGCAACCAAUGAAAUCCGAGAAGACCAGCUGGGGGCGUGUUCGCUGCUUCCAGCGUUUGGGAAGCUGGUGGGAGGAAGAGCCUGGCAGACAGAGUAACUCUCGAUAAUCAGCCCCCGCCUGAGGCUCCCUUGAAGGACCCCCCCUUCGAACUCAAAGCUGGAGACCGAGAUUCCAGGGGUGUCCAGAAGUAGCUUCUCCAGUCCCUUCCUGGACACGUGGUCCCCUCGUUCCCUUCCCUGGUUUGCUCUUUGUCGCUCCACACCCCUUGUGUUUUGAUUCUGGAAUGUCAUAUGCCUCUACUAAUUCUGUCCCCUUCAGAAUGGGGACCUGACUUAUGUGUCUCUUCUAGGCCAAAACGCCCUUGGCUCUAGCAUCACAGAUGCCCUGUAUAUGCUUAACUUUGGACAGAAAAUUAUUUUUUUGUAUCUUGAAACUGAUACAGUUGUACAUAUUUUCAGGGAUCCAUCUGAUAUUUUGAUAUAUGUAUUCAAUGUAUGAUGAUCAAAUCAGUGUAAUUGAGAUAUCCAUCAUCUCAAACAUUAUCUUUGUGUUAGGAACAUUUUCUGCUAUGAGUUCUCUUGUAGCAGAAAAUUGUUAUUUUUGAUCAACUGACUAUUCACACAUUUGUGAAGAUUACAAAUCCAGUAACUAAUGUAACAUUUAAAUGUAAGCUAUUGUUGCAAAUGUAGCCCAAAGCGCUGUACUUUGGGGAAUCCAGCAUCUGCUACAUUUUUCUAGUUUGAACAGGCAAUAGAAAUAGCUGUUAGAUACUGUAAAAGAAAUUGAAUUUCUUUGGCAAUAUGCUUCCCAGUGUCAAUAAAUUAAAGUAUCUUUUUUUAGAAA